rnacentral:misc_RNA from 1 species
GGAACUUUCAGGGGCUGUGAGGCUUGAUGGGUUAAGGGGAGAUGAAGAGGUUGGUAAUGGAAUGGUAUUGUCUAAUAAGUUUUGUAAGUCAAUUAAAUGUCGAUGCAUAAGGAGGAAGCUGUUGGCAGUUUGCAGACUGAGAUCUUGAAAAUCUAUAUCCUCUAAACAAGUGUUGGUGUGUUCAAAUGCCUUUUGGGAUGCUCUGAAGCGCUGGAGAAGAUCAUUAUUAUGUUAUUGAACGUCUUCUCCGAACAAGAUAGGGAACUAUAGCAAUUUUCUUUUUUAAUUGAUCAUUCUUAUUGUUCGU